rnacentral:rRNA from 1 species
UGCCGACCCCAGCCUAUUGGCUGGGUGUCGGAAUACGGCGCGGGAUGUCGCCAAGGAACACUAAUUUGCGGAGGCAGACGGCAAUACGCUCGUACUGUUGACGCCAACUUAACAUUAUGACUCUCGGCAACGGAUAUCUCGGCUCUCGCAUCGAUGAAGAACGUAGCGAAAUGCGAUACGUGGUGUGAAUUGCAGAAUCCCGUGAACCAUCGAGUUUUUGAACGCAAGUUGCGCCCGAGGGAUCCUCCCGAGGGCACGCCUGCCUGGGUGUUAGAAGCCCAUCAACGCUCAGUCAACCUUUUUACAGAGGACUGACUUGACGUGGACAAUGGACCUCCGAGCUAGUAAUGGCACGGUGGGCUGAAGUGAAUGGUCGUCGAAUGGUAAUAGGAUCGGCAAGUGGUGGGCUACUGCGCAUGCCAAUCCUAGCUGCCAUUUCGACGUAUGGCCUCUAUACCCCAGUCGUAACGAGGGGAUUGUUGUCACAGCAUCUUGUUGUGUGACAAUUUCGGACCGAUACCCCAGGUCAGGCGGGGCCACCCGCUGAGUUUAA